CACCUCACAACUCACAAAGUCAAACUCAACGAACUCCCCUCUCCAAAAUAUUUCUCUCUAGACUCCAUUGAAGAGAAAAGUCAAGAUCAAUCUAGGGCUCCAAGAAUCAGUCUUUUCUCCUCAAUUUCAUGUGUUAUUAAACCUAAGGUAUGGAUGGUAUUCAUCUUUCGGAACCUUUCAUCAAAAGAGACCCUUCAAAUUGAGUUUUCAAGAUUCUAAAUUCCCCAAACUUAGGUUAUGAUCGUUGAGACAUUGUACUUGUUUCAAGUAAAUCAUGGGUUGACUAUUCCCUAGUCUUGUUGAAUCCUCAAGUUUGGGAGAAGAUUUCAUCUUUUAUAAAUUCUAUUUUAGGUUAUAUUUUGAGGCUUUAUUGAUUUAUAGGGCAACCCUAUUUGUACUCUCUAUUGUGUUAGAUCAUGAAUGAGACAAGCUUAUAGUCUUAUGUUUGUCUAUAAAAAAAAUUGACUUCGAUUGCAAAA